rnacentral:rRNA from 1 species
GAUGAACGCUGGCGGCGUGCCUAAUACAUGCAAGUCGAGCGAACAGACGAGGAGCUUGCUCCUCUGACGUUAGCGGCGGACGGGUGAGUAACACGUGGAUAACCUACCAUAAGACUGGGAUAACUUCGGGAAACCGGAGCUAAUACCGGAUAAUAUAUUGAACCGCAUGGUUCAAUAGUGAAAGACGGUUUUGCUGUCACUUAUAGAUGGAUCCGCGCCGCAUUAGCUAGUUGGUAAGGUAACGGCUUACCAAGGCGACGAUGCGUAGCCGACCUGAGAGGGUGAUCGGCCACACUGGAACUGAGACACGGUCCAGACUCCUACGGGAGGCAGCAGUAGGGAAUCUUCCGCAAUGGGCGAAAGCCUGACGGAGCAACGCCGCGUGAGUGAUGAAGGUCUUCGGAUCGUAAAACUCUGUUAUUAGGGAAGAACAAAUGUGUAAGUAACUAUGCACGUCUUGACGGUACCUAAUCAGAAAGCCACGGCUAACUACGUG